GGCUCGAUAGGUACCGACGAUGAGCUAUUGCCUGAUCCUGUUGCAGAUUUAAAACUUGCCCAUUCGAGUGGUCAAACUUUAAAGUACCAUAUGAAGUCGCUAUGGGAUAUGACCUGGAAGUUUGUCCUGAGGGAUUUCGAAUUGAAGACUUUCGAGCGAAGUUGUGUUUCGCACAAUUUUUUUAAACCCUUCAUAACCCACUAGUCUAGUCUUUACUAUUGACUAUGCCGACUAGGAAUUGAUGGUAGUUAACUAUAUGACUUCAUCAGCACCUGAUGAGAAAUCAAAGCUGUUGGCUUCCGGGGGGAGUAUGGUCGCAAGGCUAAAACUUAAAGAAGUUGACGGAAAGGUACCACCAGGAGUGGGACCUGUGGUUUAAUUCGACUCAACACGGGGAAACUCACCAGGUCUGGACAUAGGUGAGGAUUGGCAGAUUGAGAGCUCUUUCUUGAUUCUAUGGGUGGUGGUGCAUGACCGUUGUUGGUUGGUGGAGUGAUUUGUCUGAUUGAUUCCGUUAACGAACGAGACAACCUACUGAAUAGUAUCGUGAAUUACUAUUUACGGCAUAAUACGUUGAGGGACUACCGGCUUAACCCGUUGGGAAUUUUGAGGCAAUAUCAUGUCUGUGAUGCCCUUAGAUGUUCUGGGUCGCGCGCGCGCUACACUGAUGAAGUCAACGAGUAUUUUCCUACACCGGAAGGUGUAUGUAAUGUUUUAAAACUUUAUCGUGCUGGGAAUAGAUGAUUGCAAUUAUUCACCUUUAAUGAGAUAUCUCUAGUAAGCGCAUGUCACCAGCAUGCGUUGAUUAUGUCCCUGCCCUUUGUACACACCAACCGUCGCUACUACCGAUUGAAUGGCUUAGUGAGGCCUCAGGAGGGAAUUUUGAUGGUGGCAACACCGACACUAAUUCUCGAAUUGGGAAAAACUUUAGUCCUAUAGAGGAGGUAUAUGUCGUAAAAAAAUAUUCCGUAGGUGAACCAGAGGAAGGAUCACUA
rnacentral:ncRNA from 1 species